rnacentral:rRNA from 1 species
UACGUAGGUGACAAGCGUUGUCCGGAUUUACUGGGCGUAAAGAGCGCGCAGGCGGUCGAUCAAGUCGAGUGUGAAAGCCCCCCAGCUCAACUGGGGAGGGUCAUUCGAUACUGAUCGACUCGAAGGCAGGAGAGGGUAGUGGAAUUCCCGGUGUAGUGGUGAAAUGCGUAGAUAUCGGGAGGAACACCAGUGGCGAAGGCGACUACCUGGCCUGUUCUUGACGCUGAGGCACGAACGCUAGGGGAGCAAACGGG